UACGUAGGGGGCAAGCGUUGUCCGGAAUCAUUGGGCGUAAAGAGCGCGUAGGCGGCCCUGUAAGUCCGCUGUGAAAGUCAAGGGCUCAACCCUUGAAUGCCGGUGGAUACUGCAGGGCUAGAGUCCGGAAGAGGAGUGUGGAAUUCCUGGUGUAGCGGUGAAAUGCGCAGAUAUCAGGAGGAACACCGAUGGCGAAGGCAGCACUCUGGGACGUGACUGACGCUGAGACGCGAAAGCGUGGGGAGCAAACAGG
rnacentral:rRNA from 1 species